rnacentral:rRNA from 1 species
UAAGAUAACGGGUUGCCUAAGAAUGGCAGUCGUGCGCGAAAGGGGCUUCGGCUCCGAGUAGAGCGGCAUCCGGGUGAGUAACGCGUGGGUAAUCUGCCUCGAGGUCUGGGAUAACCCGGGGAAACCUGGGCUAAUACCGGACGAGCCCACAGGGUCUUCGGACCAUGCGGGAAAAGGUGGCCUCUGCUUGCAAGCUACCGCCUCGAGAUGAGCCCGCGUCCCAUUAGCUAGUUGGUGAGGUAACGGCUCACCAAGGCGACGAUGGGUAGCUGGUCUGAGAGGACGAUCAGCCACACUGGGACUGAGACACGGCCCAGACUCCUACGGGAGGCAGCAGUCGGGAAUAUUGGGCAAUGGGCGCAAGCCUGACCCAGCGACGCCGCGUGAGGGAUGAAGGCCUUCGGGUCGUAAACCUCUGUCAGGAGGGAAGAACGGCUGCAGGGCGAAUAGUCCUGCAGUUUGACGGUACCUCCGAAGGAAGCGCCGGCUAACUCCGUGCCAGCAGCCGCGGUAAUACGGAGGGCGCAAGCGUUGUUCGGAAUCACUGGGCGUAAAGCGCGUGUAGGCGGCCGGGCAAGUCGGAUGUGAAAACCCGAGGCUCAACCUCGGAACUGCAUUCGAAACUGCUCGGCUCGAGUCCCGGAGAGGAUGGCGGAAUUCCCGGUGUAGGGGUGAAAUCCGUAGAUAUCGGGAGGAACACCAGUGGCGAAGCGGCCAUCUGGACGGUGACUGACGCUGAACGCGAAAGCGUGGGGAGCAAACAGGAUUAGAUACCCUGGUAGUCCACGCCGUAAACGGUGAGUGCUAGACGUCGCGGGGUAUUGACCCCCUCGGUGUCGAAGCUAACGCGUUAAGCACUCCGCCUGGGGAGUACAGCCGCAAGGGCUAGACUCAAAGGAAUUGACGG